AGCAGUCGCCGCGGUAAAACGAAGGGGGCUAGCGUUGUUCGGAUUUACUGGGCGUAAAGCGCACGUAGGCGGAUCGAUCAGUCAGGGGUGAAAUCCCAGAGCUCAACUCUGGAACUGCCUUUGAUACUGUCGAUCUGGAGUAUGGAAGAGGUGAGUGGAAUUCCGAGUGUAGAGGUGAAAUUCGUAGAUAUUCGGAGGAACACCAGUGGCGAAGGCGGCUCACUGGUCCAUUACUGACGCUGAGGUGCGAAAGCGUGGGGAGCAAACAGGAUUAGAUACCCCGGUAGUCCCUGUCUCUUAUAC
rnacentral:rRNA from 1 species